CACGCUGUAAACGAUGAUCACUAGACGUCAAAUCUGCUUGCAGAUCUGGUGUCGUAGCUAACGCGUUAAGUGAUCCGCCUGGGGANAGGAACCUUACCUGGGCUUGACAUGUUUUUGACAGUCGUAGAAAUACGAUCUUCUAGGCGUAAGCUUAGACAAUUACACAGGUGC
rnacentral:rRNA from 1 species